GAGGGCAGAGGCGCUGGGCGCCACGCGGGCUUCAAACCCGUUGGCCCGGUCUUACCAACCGGGGGGAGGUUCGAUUCCCCCUGCCCUCACCA
rnacentral:tRNA from 1 species